rnacentral:lncRNA from 1 species
CAAAAGACAAAAUGGAAAAAUGCUAUCAAGAAUUUAAAAAUGUUUACAUGAACUCAUCUUCAGUGCAACUAGAAUUAGAAGUGAAACUACAGAAGUUUGGGAAAUUUUGUGUCAAAUAUUUCUUGGGGGGGGGGAGUCUGAUAUACAAGAUAUCCUCCACAAAGUUCUAUUUUAACGUCUCAUUGUUGAGGCUAGAUUCAUAUUAGCCAUAGCAGUGAUGCACAAGCUCUGAGAGGUUAUACCUUGAUGGAAAGGUUUUUAUUAUAGUCCUGGCAAGAAACUGUCUGCUUUCUGGGAACCAGCCUCGACCGUUUUGGGAUAGCUAUUCACAACCGACAAUGAAUCCUUUGACCAUGGCAAACUAUGCAGGAAACAAAGAAGAAUCCAAAAUGGAGCCCUCAGUGUGCUUCUCAGUAGUGAUGACAGAAUAGCAGAGAAGAGACAUAAGUUGUUUCUUCUAUGUAAAGCCUGCAUUUUUCUCGAACUAGAUCAUAACCUCACUGAAGAUAAAAGCAUUUCUACUUUUCCAGCUCUAAUAGAGGAUAUAACCACCAACUACUCAGUUUUGCUUCUUCCUGUAUGGUUCCUGAGUAUGCAAACUAAAAUAGAAAUAAGGGGGAUAAAAAAAUCUCCUAAAGGAGGAAGACAUUUAAGCAAUGACCCUUCAUUCCACCAGUUUUACAUGUUGAUUUUCUUUUAUCUGCUCAGCUGGGAGCCUCAUUUAACAGACUUGAGGCAGAUUACAAAUUACAAAUCUCCCCCUCCAAAUUCCAAACCCAUUUGAUAAUCUCUCAGCUCAUAAAUUUAGCACUGAAGCAAUGUAACAUUUUAAACUUGAGACCAGUGAAGCAAAUCUCUGCAAAUUUUUAAGAAAAGAAUGGUUCUUUGCUAUCUUUCUGGAGUGUCUUUGGGUGGGAUUCUUCCCAGAGGCAUUAAGAUGGAAUAAAUGACACCGUGCAGUCUCUUCCA